GGACACGUGGUAUCCUGUCUGAAUAUGGGGGGACCAUCCUCCAAGGCUAAAUACUCCUGACUGACCGAUAGUGAACCAGUACCGUGAGGGAAAGGCGAAAAGAACCCCGGCGAGGGGAGUGAAAAAGAACCUGAAACCGUGUACGUACAAGCAGUGGGAGCACGCUUAGGCGUGUGACUGCGUACCUUUUGUAUAAUGGGUCAGCGACUUAUAUUCUGUAGCAAGGUUAACCGAAUAGGGGAGCCGAAGGGAAACCGAGUCUUAACUGGGCGUUAAGUUGCAGGGUAUAGACCCGAAACCCGGUGAUCUAGCCAUGGGCAGGUUGAAGGUUGGGUAACACUAACUGGAGGACCGAACCGACUAAUGUUGAAAAAUUAGCGGAUGACUUGUGGCUGGGGGUGAAAGGCCAAUCAAACCGGGAGAUAGCUGGUUCUCCCCGAAAGCUAUUUAGGUAGCGCCUCGUGAAUUCAUCUCCGGGGGUAGAGCACUGUUUCGGCAAGGGGGUCAUCCCGACUUACCAACCCGAUGCAAACUGCGAAUACCGGAGAAUGUUAUCACGGGAGACACACGGCGGGUGCUAACGUCCGUCGUGAAGAGGGAAACAACCCAGACCGCCAGCUAAGGUCCCAAAGUCAUGGUUAAGUGGGAAACGAUGUGGGAAGGCCCAGACAGCCAGGAUGUUGGCUUAGAAGCAGCCAUCAUUUAAAGAAAGCGUAAUAGCUCACUGGUCGAGUCGGCCUGCGCGGAAGAUGUAACGGGGCUAAACCAUGCACCGAAGCUGCGGCAGCGACGCUGAUGCGUUGUUGGGUAGGGGAGCGUUCUGUAAGCCUGCGAAGGUGUGCUGUGAGGCAUGCUGGAGGUAUCAGAAGUGCGAAUGCUGACAUAAGUAACGAUAAAGCGGGUGAAAAGCCCGCUCGCCGGAAGACCAAGGGUUCCUGUCCAACGUUAAUCGGGGCAGGGUGAGUCGACCCCUAAGGCGAGGCCGAAAGGCGUAGUCGAUGGGAAACAGGUUAAUAUUCCUGUACUUGGUGUUACUGCGAAGGGGGGACGGAGAAGGCUAUGUUGGCCGGGCGACGGUUGUCCCGGUUUAAGCGUGUAGGCUGGUUUUCCAGGCAAAUCCGGAAAAUCAAGGCUGAGGCGUGAUGACGAGGCACU
rnacentral:rRNA from 1 species